CGUAGGGUGCGAGCGUUAAUCGGAAUUACUGGGCGUAAAGCGUGCGCAGGCGGUUUGUUAAGAUAGGCGUGAAAUCCCCGGGCUCAACCUGGGAACUGCGCUUAUGACUGGCAAGCUAGAGUACGGCAGAGGGGGGUGGAAUUCCACGUGUAGCAGUGAAAUGCGUAGAGAUGUGGAGGAACACCAAUGGCGAAGGCAGCCCCCUGGGUCGAUACUGACGCUCAUGCACGAAAGCGUGGGUAGCAAACAGGAUUAGAUACCCUGGUAGUCCACGCCCUAAACGAUGUCAACCAGGUGUUGGGUGGGUAAAACCAUUUAGUACCGGAGCUAACGCGUGAAGUUGACCGCCUGGGGAGUACGGCCGCAAGGUUA
rnacentral:rRNA from 1 species